CCUACGGGAGGCAGCAGUGGGGAAUAUUGCACAAUGGGGGAAACCCUGAUGCAGCGACGCCGCGUGAAGGAUGAAGUAUUUCGGUAUGUAAACUUCUAUCAGCAGGGAAGAAAAUGACGGUACCUGACUAAGAAGCCCCGGCUAACUACGUGCCAGCAGCCGCGGUAAUACGUAGGGGGCAAGCGUUAUCCGGAUUUACUGGGUGUAAAGGGAGCGUAGACGGUAUGGCAAGUCUGAUGUGAAAACCCGGGGCUCAACCCCGGGACUGCAUUGGAAACUGUCGGACUAGAGUGUCGGAGAGGCAAGUGGAAUUCCGUGUGUAGCGGUGAAAUGCGUAGAUAUACGGAGGAACACCAGUGGCGAAGGCGGCCUGCUGGACAUUAACUGACGCUGAGGCGCGAAAGCGUGGGGAGCAAACAGGAUUAGAUACCCGAGUAGUC
rnacentral:rRNA from 1 species